UCCUACCCCCCCCCCCCCACCCCCCCAAGAAAAAAAACUAUACCUAGUUCUAGAUGCCCCAUAUUCUUGGAAUUACAUGGCUUCUUUGUGAAUGCAUUUGCUUUUUCUUUCAUCAUCUGAAUGUUGGACUUUAAUUCGGGAGUUUUUGGUAGGUUUUGUCUGAUAUCAGAACGCAUCUCAUGAGAAUAUUUAACUAAAAGCUCAAAAAAAAAAUGGACCAGUUUUACAUAGGGCUGGGCAAUAUACUCAUUCAAUAAUUACCUAAUUUAUAUAUAUUUUUUAGUUCAAUAGCAGUUAUUGCCACCUUUUGGUGUAUUGCCUUUCUCUUUCUUUGUUGUUUUUUAAAAUUAUCGUUAUUAUAAUUAUCUGCAUUAUUUAAUUCUACCUGAUGUGGUAGUAAACAUCCAAACUUCAGGGGCAGUGUGAAAUUCUUCCAGAAACACCACUGAUAUCCAUUGGAUGUUGAUAAGACAGCCAAUCAGCAGCAAGGUCAUACAGGGGCUUGCAGCUUCCAUGUGAUCGACAAAGAACAGCCACUGAUUGGCUGUUUUAUCAGCAUCCAAUAGAUAUCAGCGGGGAUUUUUCCCCCCCCGGAAGCACUUCAUGCUGCCUUUAAAGUUUGGAUGUUUAUUACCAGAGCAGGUGUAAGUGAAGAGACAGACAGAAAGGCACAUGGUGGUGAUGACCGUUGUCAAAACAAUGUGACCGUUAUUGAGCGAGUAUAUCGCUCAGCCCUGUUUUCACAGGAGAUCAAUGCCAAGGCCCUGACUUAUCAAUGGACGAAGAGGCAUCCCAUUAAUCUUGUUUUUACUGGACAUGAAUCAUGGAACCUGCUUUCCGCUCAUUGCUGUCACCCUCAUGAUUAUCCAGCUAUUUCAUCAUUUUUCCGUGUGGGUUCGAUUUCACCCCUAGCUCUGAGUUCGCACACUGCCCCGAGCCUAUCAGACAAAUAAGGAUUCUUUGUUUGAAGGGGUUCCGCGCUGGACACAGACAGAAGAGAGAUGUGUGCUUAUGGAUGACAGUGGAGCAUUGCUUGAAUCCACGCUUCACCCUCGUUUAUAUUAGUGUAAUUUCUGAGGUUAAAUUCCCCUGAUAAAUGAACUGAUGGCCCAUGCCUCUGUAGUUAGAUCAUGUCAGGGCGCAUUGCCCACUCAUUGAAGUCUUUACUGAUUGUUUACUGAAUGUUCGCCCAGUUAAUUACAGCAUCUCCAGUGACGAGCGUGCAGCUCGGUAGAUUGUUUCUCUUCCUUAGAACUCUCAGUCAGCCUGAGGACUCGGCUUCAUGCAGAUGCCAAGUAAACAGCAGCACUAUAAUAUGCACAUAAACGCGUGCCUUGUUGCUUUCAGAUUUUUUGGGUGUGCUCUAGUUCUACCGCACUCCUCUACAUUAUUGGGAAUAGGAAUGAUCAGACGAAGACUAAUGUAAUUAUUUGCCUUCAAAAUAUUUUAAUUAGUUUCCAUAUAUGCGAAUAACUUGCCAUUCACUGUAUUUUGUGUUUAAUAGUAUUAUUUUGACAGGGAAGAUGUAUAAAUACAAUGGAUGUGGUAAAUAAUUUAAUCUGAUGUGAUGAUGCCUAUUAUGCCAUAAUUUUCUCCCUGGUGGUCACCCAGAAUAUGACUGCUCCCACAUCAAAGCCACAGUCAGGGACAUGUUCAUCCUUCCUCUACAUGUGAAAGAAUAAUAUCUGAAAUUCAGCAAAUUGAAGGCUUCAGAUCAUUCAUUUCCAUCCACAUAGCUGUAAAAACCCCUGAUGUAAUGGUUGCAGGUUUAAUGCUGUGCUUUGCUCCUACCUCAGUGUGAGCCAGUGUGAAUUUAUCAGCCUUGUGUGGAAGUGUCUGUCGCAUUCAAAGUUCUGCAGUGAAAAGUUCUUAUCUUGAUAUUAAAUCUGGAAAAGUUUGCCGUUC